GGGUUAGGGGUUAGGGAUAUGAGUUAUUGUUGUUUGUUUGAUCUGUUUAGGGUUUUGGUGCACUGGCCUGGGGAUGUAUUAUCCACCGUCUCUCCUCACGUCUGCCCAAAAUGAGAGAAUGAGAACGAUGACAGUGACCGACAAGGAUUGGGUGCAGCUCAGGAUUAGUUUUUAAGUUGUACAGAGGUUUGCUGUGGGAGAAGAAGAGGAAGAAGAAGGAAGGAAAACUGGUUAGUUGUGAGUGAAGAGUCUUUCAUUGAGACCCAAAGGUUGUCUGCUAUUUAUUUUUCUAAUCCAGGCCCCCUCUGCUCUCCUCCUCUGACCAGCAGACCAGUUGGGGUUACUUUCCACACCUGAAAUGGCGAGAUAUGAGAUGGAGUGAGUUUGAAAGUGUUGAACCAGGGGGGUCUCCGAUUCGCCUUUCCUAAUGCUGUACAGAUGUUGGUGGAGUCUGGUUCGGAUGCUGUUACCUGUUUCUCCUAUAUAGAUUUUAUGGCAUAAUGUGCAUUGAAUAAAGUAUAUUGUGUUGGAUGUGUUUAGAGUGAAGCGUCCUUUGAUCGGGUAAGUGGCUGCGGAAAAGAUGUUAGUGAUGAGAAUGGAUGGACGGAAGUGGUCCCGCUGCAUUUGGUCCCGUUCUCCUCCCCUCCUGCUGGAAAAAAGGAACUGAAUUUCUGGGAGAAGGUGGUCACCAGUGGUAGGAGGCGGGGGGUGCCGUGUGAUGCUGCGGGGUCUCCUCCGGAUCCUGCGGCGGGGCUGCUCCCCCCCUGGCGCGCACCUGUUAGCAAUGGGUUAUUGAUUGGGUCCAGGGGGACGGCCACAUUGGAGCGAGUGGGA